rnacentral:rRNA from 1 species
CCUACGGGAGGCAGCAGUGAGGAAUAUUGGUCAAUGGCCGCAGGGCUGAACCAGCCAAGUCGCGUUAGGGAUGACGGUCCUAUGGGUUGUAAACCUCUUUUGUCAGGGAGCAAAGGGCGCCACGUGUGGCGCUUUGCGAGUACCUGAAGAAAAAGCAUCGGCUAACUCCGUGCCAGCAGCCGCGGUAAUACGGAGGAUCCGAGCGUUAUCCGGAUUUAUUGGGUUUACCGGGAGCGUAGAUGGGUUGUUAAGUCAGUUGUGAAAGUUUGAGGCUCAACCGUAAAAUUGAAAUUGAUACUGGCAGCCUUGAGUACAGUAGAGGUAGGCGGAAUUCGUGGUGUAGCGGUGAAAUGCUUAGAUAGCACGAAGAACUCCGAUUGCGAAGGCAGCCUACUAAACUGCCACUGACAUUGAUGCUCGAAAGUGUGGGUAUCAAACAGGAUUAGAUACCCCAGUAGUC